UACAGUGUACAAGGAUGUUAACUGACCAGGGGCAAGUCUCGCCAAGCUGCAUGGGGGCAAAAGCAGGUUUCAAAGGGAUAGGUACAGUAUGAUUCCACAGGAUUGAAAAAGCCCAGAGCACUACAUACCAACAGUAACCUGGAUUGUCUACAGCCCUACGAUUGUAGAAUUAGCUUUUUGCAAAAGAGCAAAAAAAGUCAUAAUGAAAAUAGAAAGAAAGAAAGAAGAAACUCAAGAGUGAAACUGUAUUCAACAAAACCAGAUCCCAAAUCAAAGCAACUCUGAGAAUAAGGGAGACGUUCCGCCCUAGGGGUCUUUUUUGUCUGCAAAGGUGAGGGGGCAAUGGGAAGUUUGCUUUAGGAUUUUAUGUUUUCCCCUCUGACCUAAAGUAGCCCCCUACCUAAUGAUGUUUACUCACUGUGAAACUGUAUCUGCCCGACAUCUGCGUAGACCUCCACCAAGCCCAGCUCCCAGUUCUAAAGCACCAUCACACCCCAGGGUUUCCCCAGCCCCCCAUGCCCAUACCACCACCACCAACACUCAACACACAUACCCAAGCAUGGGUGGUGAACAGCAGUCCCCCCCCUUUUUUUAAGGAUUUAUUUAUUUAUUUGAGAGAGAGAGAGUGCCUGCAAGUGGGGAGAGGAGCAGACAGAGAGGGGGAAGCUGACUCUCCACUGAGCAAGGAGCCUACACAGGGCAGGGCUCAAUCUCACAACCCUGAGAUCAUGACCUGAGCCAAAAUCAAGAGACGGACUCUCAGUGACUGAGCCACCCAGGCGCCCCAGCAGUUCCCUUUUUUUUUGCUGAUCCAAUCAGACUAGAGAUGCCCCCCCACCACGUUGGCUGACUUCUCGUGUUCUCUGGAUCGUUUUUUAUAUAUCCUUUUUUUUUCAGAUUAUGAAAGUAAUAUAUGCACAUUCUACAACAUUUCAAAAUACCAAAUGAUCUAAAGGAGAAAGCUAACUGCCACCUUAAACAAAAAGCUGUAAGAUAUUAGUGUACCUUUUCCUGUUUCUUUUUUUCAGUACAUCUUUUUUUUUCCUGAAACUAAUACCAUAUUUUAUAUGUAGUUUGAUUUCUUGCUUUUUUUUAACACCUACAUCAUUAAUAUUUCCUGUAUCAUUAAGAUUCUUCAAACAUAGUUUUAAUAACUACAUAAUGUUUUAUUAUGUGAGUGUAACAUUAUUUAUUUAAUCAAUUGCCUAUUAUUGGAUAUUUGAAUUGUUUCUGAUUUUUACUCUAAUAACAGUGGGUGAACAUUCUAAAAAUAAAUUUGUAUAAACAUACAAUUAUUUCUUUAGUAUAAAUAGAUCUGAGCGCAAUUACUGGAACAAAAGAGAUAUAAAAUUAGACCAACUUCUACUUCAUAAGCUGUGUAUGAGAGUAUUUACUUUAUCACACUAUCAGCAGUCACUGGGUUUAGUAUUUGCCAAUUUGAUUUAUUCUCAUUUGCAUUUCAUUGAUGACUGAUGAAAAUUAACAUUCUCUCAUCUGUUUCCUAACCAGCUAUAUUUUUCUUCUGUAAGUCAUCUGUUUUAUCAACUUCUCUAGCAUUAUUUCUUCAUUUCUUAAAAUCUCUUUAAAGAUUAAAAUGCUAAUCCUUUUUGUUUAAAUAAAUGUGUCAUAAAGUUUUAAAAAUAUAUUUUUUGCCCAUGUAUUCUGGGAAUUCCCCCAAAUUCCAGGUACUCCCCCACCAUUGAGCAACCACUAAACAAAAUGUAAAAUAGCUUGUUCCCUGAUGGGUAAAGAAACUUAGCACUUAGAUUUGAUGCCCUGAAAGGUCAUCUAGUUCAACCUAUUCAUUUCCCCCAUGAGGAAGCCAAGGCUCAGAACAGUGGUUUAGCUACUGGGAGCUGACUUGAGGCCCAGAAACUGGAUCAGCUGAGUCAGCACUCUUUCCAUCUACCCAGGAGUUUUUCAAAUAUCUAUGAUAUCUACAUUCUACAUCCCAUAUUUAAUUUCCUUAAUAUUUUAAAUGCAAAAUGCAUAGAGAUAACUUAUAGAUAGAUGUUCCGAACUGGUGACUUUUUACUCAACGUUUUGAGCUCCCAGUUUUAAUAUAAAAAUAAUUUUCAAACAGAUGUUCCCUUUCUCAUAACUUCCUUUGAGAUAGAUCCUGUCUCUUUAGGGGCAAUCCUUAAGAUUUUCAACAUCCUCUAGAAUUAGGAUAAACUCUUACCACACAAAUUGCUCAGAUUAUCAAAGAAGUCAAGGUAGUCUGUUCUGGAUAUAUAACCAAGGACACAGAAUGAAGUGAGAGGAUGUAGUUUCAGGUUCAACAGAAGAAAUGGCAAAUUUUUGAUUGUUUGCAGAGGGGUAAGACUGUGGAGUCAGGGUCUCAGAUUCUCAUGCCCAUCACUGAUUAGCAGUAUAACCUUAGGCCAAUCAUAUAACCAGGACAACAAAAUGUGGGUAAUGAUGCAUAGUUUGUAGGAUUUUUAAGGCAAUGAAAAAGAAUCUAUCUCCCAUGCUUAAUAGGGUGUCUGACCCUUUGUAGAAAAGCAUACAAAUAAAUAUUCACUGUGGUACUUACUAAGCCAGAUGCUGUUUGAUGUGUUUUAUGAAAAUUAGCCCAUCAAUCAUUAAAUGAUAGUAUAUGGUCAAUACCACUGCUGUCAUAUUUUACAGCUGGGGAAACUAAGGCACAGAGAAAUAAAGGAACUUUCCCAAGAUGACAAGCUAGUCAGGAGAGCUGCAGGGGUUUGAACCCAGCAGUCUGGCCUCUGAGCCCAUUCAUAGUGCUGUGUCGACCUCCCCUCCCACUGUCUCAUGUAGGGGAAGCCUAUCUAGCUUUGCAACUUUGAUGAAACAAAGCAAUCUGCUAUGAUCUGAAUAUUCUGUCCCCCUGAAAUCCAUACAUUGAAAUCUAACCCCCAAAGCAAUGGUUUUAGGAAGUAGGGACUUUGAGGGUAAUAGGUCAUGAGGGUGGGGCCUUCACAAUUGAGAUUUGUGCCCUUACAAAAGAGACCCCGGAAAGCUCCCUCACCCCUUCCACCAUGUAGGACACAAUGAGGAGGCACCAUCUGUGAGCCAGGAAGCCGGACCUCCCCAGACACCUGCUACCACCAGGAUCUUAGACUUUCCAGAACUGAGAGAAAUAAAAUACGAUGGUAUAUCAUUACAGCCAAUUAAACAGAUGAAGAUAAAGGUGGGCGAGGAGGAGGAAUUGUUGGAAAGAUAUUUUUCAGCAGGAGAAAUGACUUCAUGGAGAGGUAAUGGGAUAGCCAUGCAAAAACAGAAAGCUAUGACUCCGCUUCAUCAUAAUAAGGUUCCAUAAAGCUGGGACCUUAGAGAAUAAAAUCCUAAAUUAGAGAGAAAAGGAACAACUUUCUGCAUACCAAUGACCUCGUGCUCGGCUUCAGCCCCCAGAAAAAUUAAAAUUUAAGUGGACAAGUGCUGUAGUAAAUGUAAAUUCCAAAUGCCAAGAGAACACUGAGGACAGAGCGCUUACAUCCUCUGGGGUGCUGGCGGUGGAGAGAGUGGAGAGGAGUGACAUUUGAAAUGGUCUUGAAGGAGGCCAAGAAAAUGGGAUUGGAAGACCGCAACCACACAGAGGAAGUGGCCAGUGCCCAGGUCCCUGGCCGUUGCGGCAAUUUCUCCAGACUACAUAGCAUUCCCCCCAAACUCCGUCUGCGUUUCCUGCUUCAAUAACCUUAAGCAUCCUGUUCUCGUGUCCUGAAAUAUGAUCUUUCCUGCUCUGACUUUUCCUGGCAAAAUUCUGCCUGACCAAGAGGCCAGCUCAAAUGCCACGUCCCCAUGAGGCCUUUGAGAAACUUCCAGGAAGCAUUAGUUUUACCCUUCAUUUGAGCUCACAUGUCAUCUUGAAAUGUGUAUAUAUUUACUUUUUUUAAAAAUAGCUAACACAUACCGAUAGUAAGAUUCAAGGAGUACAAGAGUGGGUUGCCUGGGUGGCUCUGUCAACUCUUGAUUUCAGCUCAGGUCAUGAUCUCAGUGUCGUAAGAUCAAACCCAGCAUCAGGGUCUGCACUGGGCGUGGAGUCUGCUUUUCCCUCUCCUCCUGCUCACACCCUCUCUCAGUCUCUCUCUAUCAAAUAAAUAAAUAAAUUUCUUUUUAAAAUAAAACAAAGAGUAUAAGAGUGAAAAAUAUGUCUUCCUCUUAUGCCUGCCGUCCAUGGUUCCCGGCCAUUUUCCUGGAGGCAACCAAUGUAUUAAGUUCCUCAUGGCAUUUUUCCGAAGCUAUUACAUUACGAUAGGUAUUCACCUGUGUACAUGCAUGAGCAUGUAUUUGUAAUUAUCCUAUACACAGACAUUCUUUUUUUAACAUGCAAAUUAUAGCCUGCUAUAUUCCCUGCUGCUUUUCUUACCUGAUAAUAUAUCAUGAAACUUUUUCCUUACCAAUAGAUUUUUGAGUUGCCUCACUCCAAAUUCCUUUAGUAGAGGACUAAGGAGUUCCUUCUCAGUUAUGGAUAAAUCUGAGAAUAUAAGACUAAAUAUAAAUGGAGACUCGGUGUGGUACCUUAGGCUUUUUCUCACUGUAUUGUAGGGAAAGGCAGUUUACAGUGUACAGAGCCCCGGACUAUGAGUCAGACUCAAAUCCUGGCUCUACCACCAAUCGCAGGACUUGCUCACAGCAGUUGGCUUCUCCAGACUUCAGGUGCCUCAUCUGUAAAAUUAAGCACUGAACUCCAAGGGGCCUCUCCAGUACUGAUAAUUCAUGUUUCUACAAAAACACUGAUAACACACAUGACUUUGAGAGCAGAUGUUAACAGAGAAGAAAGUAUGGAGCGUAGCUCAAAGUUCUUGCCAUGAUAAUAUUUCCCUCCUCCCAGGAUUUCCUUUUUGUCUUUCCUUGCUUGUCCUUCCCCUUCUACCCUCCAAACUUGACUCAGAGGCAUGCAUGUUGAAAAGGCCUGAGCAAGGGCACAUCAGCCAAGCUAAGCAUAAAGGGCCCCAGGCCUCUGAUUUCAGGACUGUGUUCAGCACUAGCUGUCUUAGAUUGCCACAAAAUACAAACAAAAUUUGGACCUCUUUUCCUUGAAACAUGUCCCAGUACAAUGGGGAGUUCGCUGGCCUAAUAAUCUGUAACAGAGAGAACUUAUAAAAUGAGUGCCUAAGAGAGUUUUCUGAGAGUGAUAGGAGAAAACACCCAGUCCAUUUACAGACCUCAGAAGCAGAGCAACUAUGUGGCCAAGGGCCCAAAGGUGAUUAUCAGGGAGGCCCUGGAAGUUCUCUGAGUUAUCCUUGGGGCUUUCCUGAACAAAACAAAAACACAUCACUCUCCCUCCCAAAUGUCCACAUCAAGGGCAAAAGUUCUCAAGUCUUUUAAGAACAUUCCCCACAACAACCUUAAAACUACAAAUUGAGGAUCAGAUAUCCACAGAGAAGCAAUUAGUACAGGUCCUAGAGCAGGGAGAGAGAUGCUGGAAAUCCAUCGGCUCUUGGCAAGGGCCUUGGAGCUCUCUUUACAUUAUCCACAGCUCCUACCUGGACUUCGAUGUUCACCUUUGAUGCCAACUCUCGUACCUUCACACAGCUGUCAUUAGUGUGUUUGAACCACAAGGCAUAAUCCCGAAUCUUUUUCUAGCAGCAUGGACUUUCAGAAAACACACUCCCUGUGAAUUGACUUGCCCUUUCUGUUCAUUUUUGCCCUCAUUUGUCUCUAC